rnacentral:rRNA from 1 species
UACGUAGGGUGCAAGCGUUGUCCGGAAUUAUUGGGCGUAAAGAGCUCGUAGGCGGUCUGUCGCGUCUGCUGUGAAAACUCAGGGCUUAACCCUGAGCUUGCAGUGGGUACGGGCAGACUAGAGUGCGGUAGGGGAGACUGGAAUUCCUGGUGUAGCGGUGAAAUGCGCAGAUAUCGAGAGGAACACCUGCGGCGAAGGCGGGUUGCUGGGCCGACACUGACGCUGAUGCGCGAAAGCCAGGGGAGCGAACGGG